GGGUUGUGAGGUUAAGCGACUAAGCGUACACGGUGGAUGCCCUGGCAGUCAGAGGCGAUGAAGGACGUGCUAAUCUGCGAUAAGCGCCGGUAAGGUGAUAUGAACCGUUAUAACCGGCGAUUUCCGAAUGGGGAAACCCAGUGUGAUUCGUCACACUAUCAUUAACUGAAUCCAUAGGUUAAUGAGGCGAACCGGGGGAACUGAAACAUCUAAGUACCCCGAGGAAAAGAAAUCAACCGAGAUUCCCCCAGUAGCGGCGAGCGAACGGGGAGGAGCCCAGAGCCUGAAUCAGCAUGUGUGUUAGUGGAAGCGUCUGGAAAGGCGCGCGAUACAGGGUGACAGCCCCGUACACAAAAGCGCAUGUGCUGUGAGCUCGAUGAGUAGGGCGGGACACGUGGUAUCCUGUCUGAAUAUGGGGGGACCAUCCUCCAAGGCUAAAUACUCCUGACUGACCGAUAGUGAACCAGUACCGUGAGGGAAAGGCGAAAAGAACCCCGGCGAGGGGAGUGAAAAAGAACCUGAAACCGUGUACGUACAAGCAGUGGGAGCCCCACCACCAAAGCAUUUGCUGUACCAUGUUGACGGAGCGAAGCGACGUCAAACCGAUAAAACAGCAGUGUAAAGUGAGCCGCAGGGCGCUUUGCGCGACAGCGCAAAGGCAGGCGGUUUCGCGUAGCGAAAGCGAAUGCUUUGGGGUGGGGUGACUGCGUACCUUUUGUAUAAUGGGUCAGCGACUUAUAUUCUGUAGCAAGGUUAACCGAAUAGGGGAGCCGGAGGGAAACCGAGUCUUAACCGGGCGUUAAGUUGCAGGGUAUAGACCCGAAACCCGGUGAUCUAGCCAUGGGCAGGUUGAAGGUUGGGUAACACUAACUGGAGGACCGAACCGACUAAUGUUGAAAAAUUAGCGGAUGACCUGUGGCUGGGGGUGAAAGGCCAAUCAAACCGGGAGAUAGCUGGUUCUCCCCGAAAGCUAUUUAGGUAGCGCCUCGUGAAUUCAUCUCCGGGGGUAGAGCACUGUUUCGGCUAGGGGGCCAUCCCGGCUUACCAACCCGAUGCAAACUGCGAAUACCGGAGAAUGUUAUCACGGGAGACACACGGCGGGUGCUAACGUCCGUCGUGAAGAGGGAAACAACCCAGACCGCCAGCUAAGGUCCCAAAGUCAUGGUUAAGUGGGAAACGAUGUGGGAAGGCCCAGACAGCCAGGAUGUUGGCUUAGAAGCAGCCAUCAUUUAAAGAAAGCGUAAUAGCUCACUGGUCGAGUCGGCCUGCGCGGAAGAUGUAACGGGGCUAAACCAUGCACCGAAGCUGCGGCAGCGAACGUAUCACUUAAAGCGAUUCAGCGGGUUACGAUUGACGGAGCGAAGCGACGUCAAAGCGUAUACAAAGUCGAGUCGGUUUAAGGAUACGUUCGUUGGGUAGGGGAGCGUUCUGUAAGCCUGUGAAGGUGGCCUGUGAGGGUUGCUGGAGGUAUCAGAAGUGCGAAUGCUGACAUAAGUAACGAUAAAGCGGGUGAAAAGCCCGCUCGCCGGAAGACCAAGGGUUCCUGUCCAACGUUAAUCGGGGCAGGGUGAGUCGACCCCUAAGGCGAGGCCGAAAGGCGUAGUCGAUGGGAAACGGGUUAAUAUUCCCGUACUUGGUGUUACUGCGAAGGGGGGACGGAGAAGGCUAUGUUGGCCGGGCGACGGUUGUCCCGGUUUAAGCGUGUAGGUGUGUGUUCCAGGUAAAUCCGGUUCACUUUAACACUGAGGCGUGAUGACGAGGCACUACGGUGCUGAAGCAACAAAUGCCCUGCUUCCAGGAAAAGCCUCUAAGCAUCAGGUAACAUCAAAUCGUACCCCAAACCGACACAGGUGGUCAGGUAGAGAAUACCAAGGCGCUUGAGAGAACUCGGGUGAAGGAACUAGGCAAAAUGGUGCCGUAACUUCGGGAGAAGGCACGCUGACACGUAGGUGAAGUGAUUUACUCACGGAGCUGAAGUCAGUCGAAGAUACCAGCUGGCUGCAACUGUUUAUUAAAAACACAGCACUGUGCAAACACGAAAGUGGACGUAUACGGUGUGACGCCUGCCCGGUGCCGGAAGGUUAAUUGAUGGGGUCAGCGCAAGCGAAGCUCCUGAUCGAAGCCCCGGUAAACGGCGGCCGUAACUAUAACGGUCCUAAGGUAGCGAAAUUCCUUGUCGGGUAAGUUCCGACCUGCACGAAUGGCGUAAUGAUGGCCAGGCUGUCUCCACCCGAGACUCAGUGAAAUUGAACUCGCUGUGAAGAUGCAGUGUACCCGCGGCAAGACGGAAAGACCCCGUGAACCUUUACUAUAGCUUGACACUGAACAUUGAGCCUUGAUGUGUAGGAUAGGUGGGAGGCUUUGAAGCGUGGACGCCAGUCUGCGUGGAGCCAACCUUGAAAUACCACCCUUUAAUGUUUGAUGUUCUAACGUGGACCCGUGAUCCGGGUUGCGGACAGUGUCUGGUGGGUAGUUUGACUGGGGCGGUCUCCUCCUAAAGAGUAACGGAGGAGCACGAAGGUUGGCUAAUCCUGGUCGGACAUCAGGAGGUUAGUGCAAUGGCAUAAGCCAGCUUGACUGCGAGCGUGACGGCGCGAGCAGGUGCGAAAGCAGGUCAUAGUGAUCCGGUGGUUCUGAAUGGAAGGGCCAUCGCUCAACGGAUAAAAGGUACUCCGGGGAUAACAGGCUGAUACCGCCCAAGAGUUCAUAUCGACGGCGGUGUUUGGCACCUCGAUGUCGGCUCAUCACAUCCUGGGGCUGAAGUAGGUCCCAAGGGUAUGGCUGUUCGCCAUUUAAAGUGGUACGCGAGCUGGGUUUAGAACGUCGUGAGACAGUUCGGUCCCUAUCUGCCGUGGGCGCUGGAGAACUGAGGGGGGCUGCUCCUAGUACGAGAGGACCGGAGUGGACGCAUCACUGGUGUUCGGGUUGUCAUGCCAAUGGCACUGCCCGGUAGCUAAAUGCGGAAGAGAUAAGUGCUGAAAGCAUCUAAGCACGAAACUUGCCCCGAGAUGAGUUCUCCCUGAGACUUAGAGUCUCCUGAAGGAACGUUGAAGACGACGACGUUGAUAGGCCGGGUGUGUAAGCGCAGCGAUGCGUUGAGCUAACCGGUACUAAUGAACCGUGAGGCUUAACCUUACAACGCCGAAG
rnacentral:rRNA from 1 species